UACGUAGGCAGCAAGCGUUGUUCGGAGUUACUGGGCGUAAAGAGUAUGUAGGCGGUUGGGUAAGUUUGGUGUGAAAUCUCCCGGCUUAACUGGGAGGGUGCGCUAAAGACUGCCUGGCUCGAGUGUGGGAGAGGAAAGCGGAAUUCCUGGUGUAGCGGUGAAAUGCGCAGAUAUCAGGAAGAACACCCGUGGCUAAGGCGGCUCUCUAGUACGGUACUGACGCUGAGACGCGAAAGCGUGGGGAGCGAACAGG
rnacentral:rRNA from 1 species